rnacentral:lncRNA from 1 species
GCGGCGUCGAGUCGGCCGGCUCCGGUCCACGGCGUCGAACCCCUAUAGUCCAAGUUCUGGGCGUCAGGGGAAGACUCCGAUGGAGCGGAGGAGGACGAGGCAAGUCCCGGAUUGGCGACACCAUCGACACCGACCUUCAUCAACGAAGCUUUGGCUGCAGGCUUCACGGUCGAACAGCUAGCAAGGGCGGAGCAAGCACAGGAUUCAGGUAAAAGUUCAUCGCCUACUGCUCAUCAAUUACCUAAUGUAAUUGUGUCAGAGUUGGUUCGGAGAACCAUCGCGAUGUCACCGUGGAAGGGUCCUCUACCCAGCCCUCGAGUUUCCCCGUCGAGGACGCUUGGGGAUUGCCUUGCCAUGGCGAGCAGACGGCAUACAGGUCCUCCUGGUGGAUCGGCCUUGUCAUCGAGACGGCCGAGAUCGUCGGCAAGGCCUAUGCCGAGCAGUGUUUAAAAAAUUUUCAAAUCUCCGGAAAACCAGGACAUCGAUCCAAAUUUUUCGCCGCUUCCAAACGUGCUGCUUCCAGCAUCGGCUGCGUGCACGGCGUCAGGUACGGCAAAGGAGUUGCAUGCCACCGUUCCAGGACCGGUUGACUUGGUGCUUAUCAGGCCUGGCAGAUUUUUUAGGCCCACGAAAGGGCUGUGUGCUCUCUUCAAGCGCACGGGAACCAGGCAGCGACGUUUUCCCGUAACCAAGCUGCCGCUCGUGCCUUCCGCAUCUAAGCAACCCUUGUUCGCAGAGGUCGUCUGAGAGGGCAAAACAAUGGCGGCACAUGGGAUAGGCAAUGGUUGCGCUAACUCCCUCAACUCAGGCUCUCGUGGCAUGGGUCGCGGUGAGCGGCAACACGGUGCUGGUUUUGGAGGAGGGUGGAGUCGUGGGGUUUGGCAGAACCCUAGGCGGCUUCACUACCAUCCUACGGCGCCAAACCAGCCUCCACUGCACCAGCCUCCUCUGCCGGCAGCGGCUUUGGGAAGUAAGCAACCAGCAGCAGAGCAAGGCCAUCAUCCCCCUCAGUCCACUGCACCUAACCCGAUCAAGGGGCAGCGCCACAACCUGGAACAACAACAACGACAAGGGUUACGCAGGGAACAAUUGAUGCCAUUGUCCCGCCAACCUCCGACGCAGCUGAUAUUUCAAAUGAUCCAGCAGAGUCAUCCCAAAAAGGAGGAAACCAAAAGAGCAAGGGUAAACCUUACUGCUAUCGGCGUCACACUAAAGGGCAUACACUUUCUGUUUGCACUGUUGUACUUUGCUGUGAGCUUUGCUUUGGCGAUCAUGUCAAAAAAGUGUGCCCAAAUCUGAAAAAUCUGUAAUCUACUGCUAUACCUUGUGGGUAUGCUGUAGAAGGUCUAGGGUUCUAUUUUAUACCUGUGGUUAAGAAUCCUAAAAUUCUUUCAGAUGAUAAAUCCGCAGUGGUAUGUGUGUUGGAAGGUUCUCUUACUGCUGACCAGUUAGCAGUGGAACUUGACAAACUACUACCUGAGAAUAGUUGGGUCAUUGAGGAGAAAGGAAAUGAUGCUUUUACUACUAAUUUCCCAUCAUCUGAAGUUCUUAGCCAUAUGGUCACCUGGGCCCAAUGGACACAAAGACAGUAAAGAGAAAGAUUCGGUUCGAAAAGGGGGCCGAGAAUGAUGUGUUCAAGUAUGAAAUCGAUAAGGUAUGGGUGCAAUUCAGGGGCUUACCUAAGGAGCUACGAGAAUUUCCUAUCAUUUGGGCAAUUGGCUCAAUUUUAGGUGUUCCUCGUGCAAUCGAUACAAAAUUUACCAAGAAGUAUGGUAGAGCUAGGCGAUUAACCAACUCGGAUAAGAAAUGUGUUUUGAAUUCGGACAGCACAAGACUAAUCCGGCCAUUAGUACACAUACUGAGCAAAUGGUUAUAGAUUUGCCGCCUCAGCUUCCAGGAACUGCAGGUGUUCAGCAGGGUGUAAUUAGCUGACAUCAGCAAGUUAAUCUGGCACGUACAGGAUCAGAUCCGGUGUGAAUAAAAAAUGCUUCUAAACCAGUGGUGUUGCUCACUCAGACCGAGAUGACUCCAGAUGGAUCUGCUCUUUGGAAAGCUAGCUCAAUGCAGUCCAAGAGCAACUCAGAUAUUCUUAAUAAGACUUUAGAGCUGAGCGGCAGGACAGUGUCACCAGUUAGAGCAAGUAAAAGAAAUGUGUCCACUUCGGAGCAAGACUCGUUGGAGAAGGUUACGAAGUUAAAGGCGUGCAAAAAUUUGGAUGCAGCAUCACUCAAAAGGUAAAAAAAUUCAGCCGCGCUCUUUCAAUUCUCUUGAUGACUCUACUUUAUUAGCUACUACUAGUGCAUUAGGGGUGUCUUUAGGUAACAGUGAUCAAGAGAUUGCUUUUUCUUUGAAGUCAUUAAAAGAUCUGGAAUCUCAUAGAUUGUCUGAGAGCUCUAGUUUACAAGUAAAUAAUAAUUUUGGAGUGGAUGAUUUUUUUCUCUGUUUGUUCUGCGGAUGAGAAUUUGGAUUUAGAGACUUUAAACAUCUUGUGUGCUGAUAUUACUGAAGACCUAGGUGAUGGGGGCUGUGACCCUUUCGAUAUACAGACCCCCUUAUCACAGGUCAAAAAACAUAGAUUGUUUCUUAGAAAAAAGAAAAAAUAAAAAUAACUCAAGAUGAGAGGAAUUUUCUAGAAUUGCAAUGGGUUUGCUGACAAGAAAAAAUAUAGAUUUCUAUCUGAUCCGACGAAAGAAAAGAACUUAGAUUUCAUAGCUUUAUCGGAGACUGGUAGAGCCACAUUCCCACAUUUUACCCUGAAUAAUAUUUGUGCUGGCAGGAAUUUUAUUUGGCAUUGCAUGGCUCCUAGGGGUCGGUCUGGUGGCAUGAUUCUGGGUGUAAAUCCUUUAACUUUUGACAUUGGUCAGAUAGAAGAGGGGGACUUUUUUAUCCGGUUCAAAUUAAGACACAAGGAGGAUGAUUUUAAGUUUAAUUUAAUCUCAGUUUAUGGCCCAGCUCAGUCCGAAUUCAAAACACAUUUCUUAUCCGAGUUGGUUAGAGUAUGUUCAAAAGAAUCCAUGCCUAUUAUCAUAGGUGGUGACUUUAACAUUAUUCGUAACCCAGAUGAGAAAAAUACUGAGACGUUCAAUGAGCGGUGGCCUUUUCUUUUUAACGCUGUUAUUGAUACGUUAAAUCUUAGAGAGCUUGAGAUGUCAGGCAGAAAGUUUAUUUGGGCUAAUCGCCUAUAGAACCAGACUUUUGAAAAAUUAGAUAGGGUUCUAGUUUGUACAGAUUUUGAGUCCAAAUAUCCACUUACAAAUGUACUUGCUUUGAGCUGAGAGAUUUCUGACCAUACUCCACUUUUACGUACAACAAACAAUCCUUCCCAAGCUUACCAACCCCAAUGGGAUGGUUGCUUAGAGACGGAUUCUGUGACAUGGUGCGAGACGUUUGGCAUAGUGUAGUCGUCGAAGGCACCCCAUUAGAGAGGUGGCAAGCCAAGAUCAGAAGGCUUCGUCAUUAUCUAAGAGGGUGGGCAAAGAAUGUGAGUGGUGCUUAUAAGAAAGAAAAGAAGGAACUCCUAAAUAAACUCGAUGAACUUGACAAAAAGGCGGAAAACUCUUUACUCAGUGAAAUGGAAUUAAAUCUAAAACACGUGUUAAAUGAAAGACUUGCUGAAUUACUUCGAGAGGAAGAACUAAAGUGGUACCAAAGGGCAAAGGCAAAGCAUCUUGUAGAAGGUGAUGCUAAUACAAAAUACUUUCAUUUGUUGGCAAAUGGUAGACACCGAAAAACUCGUAUUUUCCAGUUAGAGGAUGGGGUUACUACAAUAAGUGGUGAUGUUCAGCUAAAUGAACAUAUUACCUGUUACUAUAAGAAUCUAUUUGGUCCUCCGGAAAUUUCAACUACAAACUGGAAAAUGAGUUUCUAACAAGUGUCUUUUUGGAGUCUGAGGUGAGGACUGCGGUGUUCCAAAUGGAACAUAAUAAAGCACCGGGACCGGAUGGUUUUCCACCUGAGUUCUAUCAAGUCUUCUGGGAUUUAGUAAAAGAGGAACUGAUGGCCAUGUUUACGGAACUCCAUGCGGGAACAUUGCCACUAAAUAGUCUCAACUUUGGGACGAUAAUCUUGUUACCAAAAAAUAAAGAUGCGAAAAGGAUUCAAUAAUACAGACCAAUAUGUUUGUUGAAUGUCUCUUUCAAGAUCUUUACCAAAGUAGCAACAAAUAGAUUAUCUAGUGUUGCCCACAAGAUCAUUAGACCUACGCAAACUGCUUUUCUCCCAGGUAGAAACAUUAUGGAAGGCGCAGUUAUAUUACACGAGACAUUACAUGAACUUCAUUAAAUUUGAUUUUGAAAAGGCUUAUGAUAGAGUAAAAUGGAGCUUUCUACAACAAACCUUAAGGAUGAAAGGCUUCUCACAAAAGUGGUGUUCUUGGAUACAACAGUUCACGCAAUGAGGUAAUGUAAACAUUAAAGUUAAUGACCAACCUAGUUCUUACUUCCAAACAAGGAAAGGCUUAAGGCAAGGUGACCCAAUGUCUCCAAUACUAUUGAAUAUAGUAGUAGACUUGUUGGCCAUACUCAUUGCUCGGGCAAAGGAAGUGGAUCAGGUGGAAGGGGUCAUCCCCCAUCUUGUCCAAGAUGGUCUUUCCAUCCUUCAAUAUGCAGAUGACACUGUGAUUUUCAUGAGUCAUGAUCUGGACAGGGCGUUGAACAUGAAAUUAAUUUUAAGUACCUUCGAGCAACUUUCGGGGCUAAAAAUAAACUUCCACAAGAGUGAGAUAUUUUGUUUUGGUAAAGCAAAGGAGCAUGAAGCAUUUUACUCGCAGCUUUUUGGGUGCAGGUUGGGAAAAUAUCCAUUCCGGUAUCUGGGUUUACCUAUGCACACUAGGAAAUUGAGUAACAAUGAUUUGCAGUUCAUCAAAAAUAGAAUCGAGAAAAAACAUAGUGGAUGGAUGUAAUACCCGAUUUUAAGAACAAAACCAGAUAUACACUAUAUAUGAGUUUUAGAAGUCAAAUCUCACAUAUAGCUACAAAUAAGGGGUAAUAUCAAAAGACAAUGCAUAAAUAUAUAACGUACUUAGUAUAAAAGAUAUAACCUUUGAUAACAAACAGCGGAUAGACAACUCCAACUUCGGGUAUUAACUUCACUCUACAGGAUCCAACUGACUGGUUGAUCACAAGCCUAAACUCCUCCUGAGGUGUGGGGGAAAUAGCAAGAGUGAGUCCAUGUCGAACUCCACAAGUAUAGCAACUAGAUUGUAUAGAUCCCACAAUCUCAUGAUCAAUGUGACAUAAAUAAUGUAAAGCAUUAAAUAAUAAAUAAUGAGCAUAUUUAACACACAGGAAUCAUCAUCGUCGCAGCAAGAAUCCCCAAGGCCGCUCCUGACCGUGAGCUCGGCUAGUAUACUAGUUUUUAACCCUCUGUAGACGUUGCACAUCUUUACCCAUGAGUCAUGAUUUACCCUUUCGCCCGAGGUAGCUAAUCUCUUAACCCCCUUCCUAGAGAGGUCGGCAGGGAUCACUAUGAAGUCUUUCAAAGGUUCGUCUAACAAGUUAAGGCCGCUUGGUUUCAUUAGUCAGUCCGUGUGAUUCACCCGCAGGAAUCCAUGGUCUGCUAUUCCCCAAUUGCGCCACAACGGGUAACCGCUAACGAGCUAGAAAAGUUACUCAUACUUAACUAAAGCCAGAGCCAUUAUAGCCCUCAUGGUUGCACUGUUGUCCCGGUUAUCACUUACAGAUAAAUCAUCAAGUGGCUAAAAAGUCAUUUUUAUCAUUUAUUACUUAACAUUAAUCUAGUCACAGGAUCAUGGUCACAGAAAUAAAACCCAAAUGCUAUACUUGCCUUAAUCCAAUUGCUCUUGCUUAUCUCUUUGGUCCUGCUGGUCUCACUUGUCCAAGACUAUGAUCUUGAUCAAUGAAGCACUCUUGUUCACCACGAAUUGCUCAUCGUCUAAUCUCGAUCAUCGAUCACACAAACAAUCGAAGAAAACAUACACGAAGCAAACAAGACUACAAUUAGAACAGUACACCAUUCAUAUAAAAACAGUAUGAAAAGUUUAUAAAAUGAUUCUACGCAUCGAGCUAAAAUGGUGAAGUUAUGAAUUUUCUAAGAUUUCCUAUAGAUAAAUAAUUAAUUAAUUAGGGUCACGAAAUUAAAAAGUUUCAAACUGAGAAAACAGUGUUACUAACAUGUAGAGAUCAUGAUUAUAAACCUAACGCUAUUUGAAUGGGUCAAUUCAGAGUUAAAAUGAAUAUUUUAUGGCUAAAACAAUUUCAGUGGCAAACUUGUAAUUAUCUGAAAACGUAUUUUGAAUUACCCGGCACACUUUAGGUCUUCCAACUCAGAAAGCGUAUUUCAGUAAACGUGCUUUGGACUGCGGGUUCUAUUGUUAAAAACGCCAGGGGCUCUUUAGAGAGAUUGUGAGUCGAAGGGGUAAGUUUUGUUUUCGGCCGUUGGAUCUUGAUUGGAUGGCCGAGAUCAAGUCACAGGUGGAGGAGAGAGUGACUAGCCCAUCGCCGGCGGCCUGGGCGGCGGCGCCAUGGCCAGCAGGGAUCGGAGCUCGCCGGAGUAUGGUGUUUAGGCGAUGUGCUGCACGAUUCUAAGAACCAAAAGCACGGGAGCGAAGAGGGGAACAAGGGGAACUCACCCCGGGCACCAAAACUCGGCGAGGAGGACUCGAAAGCUGUCGGCCACGGGCUAUGGCGGACGGACACCCCUGCAAAAGGUUCGGCGACGUUGAGAGAGCGUUCUAGUGCAAUAGAGAACAAGAGAAUGGACUAGGCAUCUUCGUAACCUCGAUCCGAAGCUUGGCAAGCUCUUGAAUUCGGAAACGCAACAGCCGAGGAAGGGAUUUCACGGCGGCGGCUUCCUGUGCUUGUCGUCGAGAUCCAAACCGCGAGCUAGGGCACCUCCAGGGUCGCGAAAACGGGAAAACAAACACGGAGACGAUUUGGGUCUUUAUAGGGGUGUCGGUUCCAUCCAAAAUCUCGAAAAUCCUGGAGAUUUGAUACCUGUUUUUGCGUCCCGAUCGGAUACGGUGCAGGGGAGGAAGAAAGGUAGGAGAGGGAGGAGGACGCUGACCUGCGGUUCCCACCUGGCAGAGGCUAAUGGCGCGGGGCCGGCUUGCCAGAGAGAAAAGGGAGAGGGGAGGCGCGGGCUGGCUUCUGCCACAGAGCCGCGAGUUGGGCUGCGGAGGGAAAGAAAGGGGGGGGGGGGGAGGAGGAGAGUUUGGGCCUUCGGGCAAGAAGGAGGGAGGAGGGGUUCUAUUUUUUUUUCUAUUUUCCUUUCUUUAUUUCAAAGCCGAUUUUCAAAAACAAUUUGAAAAUCAUUUUUAAAAUCAAUUUGAUUCUCCUUAAUCUUAAAUUAAAUCCACACAUCACAUUAAAAUAAAUGCAAGGGCAUGCAUGCUCAAGCACAUUGCUAACUCCUAAGAUAAUUUUUAAUUAAGUGAAAAAUAUUAUUGUUCCUAUGUUCCAUGAGCACAGAAAUACAAAAUUAAAUCAUUUCCACCUAUUUCAAAAUUUGUAAAUUUUUGGGUGUUACAAAUCUACCCCCUUAAAAUGAAUCUCGUCCUCGAGAUUCGAAAGAGACACAGAUUCCAAAAGAGAAACAGGAAAAAGAUCUUGAUAACUAUUUUAACUUCACAACUUGUAUUCCAAUGUAAACACUUAUGUCUCGGGAUCACAACUUGUGAACAAAACUUUCAUAAAAAUGUCUAUUAUUCGUAAUUGUUCAAGGUCCAUCUUAACUACCAACUUUUGACUUAUACAACUCGAAGACAUGGUAACUUAGCAUGGAUAUGCCUCCUCAGGUAGGAGUGAACCACCUUGAUACUCAACUCUUUUCCCUGAUGGUGCGGUUAAGAAAAUUUUCCACUGGGUAGCAUAGAUCGCUGCCUUGUGUGCACAUAACCAUCCAUUGCCAAGAAUCAAAGGAAUGUUGAGUGACUCUAGCACAAUGAGGUUUACAGUGAAGUUUUCCUUCUUUAUGACAAGAUUGAUAUUUGAGUAAACCUGAUCUGCCUGUAUUUCUCCCAUUGGGGUUUGAACUAACAAAGGCUUUCUCGUCGGACGCUUCACUCGUUCGAUUGUCUUUACCAGGUUGGUGGAUAUGAAAGAAUGCGAAGCACUUCGGUCAAACAGAGCAAAAACUAGCACUGAGUCCACUUGAAUAUAGCCUCCCACCACUUUGGUGGCUCCUUGAAUGUUAUGCCUAUCCACGUUGUUCAGUCUUCCAUUGAUAUAAUUUUGCUGUACUUUAUUUCUGAGAGCGGGCUUCUUACGAGCUUUCCUUUUAUGCUUCCGUCGUUGUGGAUUUUGAUUUGAUUCAUUGUCAACUUGCUCUUCCAUAUUAUUAUUUUGAUAACACUCAGCUUUGUCAUACUCAUAGCAUCUUUCUUCAAAAUCAAGAUGAUCAUAUUCUUCCCACCUAUCCAUGAGAGGCGUCAUAUUAUGCUCCAAAUCCAUGGGACACUACACUCCGUGUCAUCAAGUGACCAACGUCAGUAACACGGCAAGGAUAGAUGAUCAUAACCAUAGAAUAUCUCAGAAGACAAUUAUCACUUCAAAAUGCAUCAUCCUGUGAUAUCAGGGUACUACCCCCCUUAAAAUGAGAUUGAUUGGGGAACACUAGGGACUACUUCUCCUAUCCUUUUUUAGACGCUACACAUCAUAUAGUCUUUUAAAUUCGCUGUACUGAGUCUCUUGAUACAACAUUAUCCAAUUCUUCUCCAUGUAACCCCUUUAUUUGGGCUACCCCCUUAGUAAAAGUCAUCUAGGGGGCACAGGAUUGGUAGCUUGCAUGUUUUUCCGGAAGGUUAACUAACAUUGAGAACCUCUGACAUCCCAAAGAACUUAUGUGUAAGGGGAGAACAAACAGGUAUCCUGAAUUUUUCUCAUGAUAUGAAAACACCAGCGUAGUAAAAUACAUAUAACUCUUAUUCUGUUAAUCCAACAGAGUUAUAGCUUAUACCAUUAGAAAACUUAUGAAAUUCUCUACCACUUUCAUGUAGAAGACCUCCUUAGAUUCUGUCUUUAAGCUUAGGUAAAACAACCAAACAUAAUCUCCUUCCUGAUAACAUCUCAGCAAAGGUGCAGUAACUUCCAAAAUUUAUAUCGCGAGCUACUUAACUCAUCUGGAGAUGAUCCUUACAUUUUUGAAAAGCUUAGGAAAUCCUCUACAACUUUCGUAUACCAUGUUUUCCCAGAUUCUGUUUUUAACUUGGCCAAAAAUAGGGAAUACCAAAACUGUCCAGACUUUGAUACAGAACAGAAACAUCCAAGUGUAAAUGUCAUAUCUCAGGUUCUACUAAUCCAAAUUAGUUCCAGCUUAUACUGUUGAAAAGCAUAGUAAAUUGUCUACAUCUUUUCUAUAGAACACUUUUCCAAAUUCUAUAGCUAUAUUUGUCUCAAACAGUAAGCAACCAAAACUGGUCCAGGUUCUUGACAGCACAGUUGUAUCAUCUUGUGAUUUUUGUAACUUCCAAACCAUAACAGUUAUGAGGGUGAUUCUUGCGGUCAGAGAAAUAUCUUGAAGUCUAGUUGUUCCCAGAAAAGUUUAGUAAACUUUGCACGAUCAGAUCUUGAUAUACACUAUAAUUAUUGCAGACUGCUUCAGAAAACAGCAAAAGAUAGAAACAGGAUAUAACCAAACCCAACUACUUAUGUCAUUACUCCUUAUGCCUUAGUUCUAUAAACUAAAUGAAAUUGUGAAGAACUCACAAAAUCAUUACACUCAUUACAAAGAUCCAAAUCAAAUAUAAACAUAAUAACAAGCAAUUAAGCAUUAAAGGUUCACAAGGCACACAAACUCAACUUUCGCUACUAGCGUUUUUAUUACACAGGGGGACAUAAACUCCUAAAUUUUAGACUCAGUGUGGCUAAUUUCAUGAUGCAUCUGUUGCUUCUUUUGUGGACAAGAGCUUAUAUAAUGUCCUUCUUGUUGGCAGUGAUAACACCUUCUCUUAGCUGGAUCCUUUGUGAUGUUAUUUUCCACUGAAGUGGUGUUCGGUGUGUUAUCAACUUGCAGACUCUGAUGGUUUGUCUUUGCCUGGUUAGAUUUCUUUCUACAUUGCUUGAUCCUCCGGGGUUGAAAUUCUCUAUAAGUAAUUGUCCACCCAUCUAUGCAUACCUCAUGAGCAGUGGGGUUAGCUUGAGAAGUUUCUUUAUCACCAAGGUUUGAAUUUUUCCGACAAGAAUUCAAAGCUACAUGUGACAUCUUGGGAUUUGGGUGUUGAUCACUUCCCAAUGUCGGCUCUAGUGCUUUUGCCUUCCUCUUCUUAUCCUCAUUAGUCACACAAGUUGGUUUUGUCUUAACUUCCUUUUUAGAUGACAUAUUCUGAAGACAAGGAAGACCAUAAUGCUCACAACAGUGGCAUUGAUCCUGAUAUCCUGAUGUAUUACUCCCAACGCUUCCAUGAUUUCUCAUAUUGUUCCAACCUUCUGCUACAUGUCUCCUCACUGGUCCCGAGAUGCGUUGUUGAGAGUUUUUAUUCUGAGUUAUUCCUUCCACUACUUGUGUUUGCAUGGCUAGAAUGUCGAAUGCUUUUACGGUUGGCAAAUCUGGGUACUUUUGUUCUUUCUUGUCAAAGGUCUCCUCGUUAUGAUCCAUCUAAAGAGACAAAGAGAGAGGAUUUAGAAUAGAGACAAGAUUUUAUAAAAGAACUGGGCAAGAAGUAAGCAUAACUUUUAGCAACUAUCAAGGUCAAGGUGAAAGCAAAGAUAGAAGCAUGCUAAAACGUCCAGUUCUAACUAGGCUUGCGUCCUACAGUCAGCAUUGCUCUGAUACCACUUUGUAAUACCCGAUUUUAAGGACAAAACCAGAUAUACACUAUAUAUGAGUUUUAGAAGUCAAAUCUCAUAUAUAGCUACAAAUAAGGGGUAAUAUCAAAAGACAAUGCAUAAAUAUAUAACGUACUUAGUAUAAAAGAUAUAACCUUUGAUAACAAACAGCGGAUAAACAACUCCAACUUCGGGUAUUAACUUCACUAUACAGGAUCCAACUGACUGGUUGAUCACAAGCCUAAACUCCUCCUGAGGUGUGGGAGAAAUAGCAAGAGUGAGUCCAUGUCGAACUCCACAAGUAUAGCAACUAGAUUGUAUAGAUCCCACAAUCUCAUGAUCAAUGUGACAUAAAUAAUGUAAAGCAUUAAAUAAUAAAUAAUGAGCAUAUUUAACACAUAGGAAUCAUCAUCGUCGCAGCAAGAAUCCCCAAGGCCGCUCCUGACCGUGAGCUCAGCUAGUAUACUAGUUUUUAACCUCUGUUGAGGUUGCACAUCUUUACCCAUGAGUCAUGAUUUACCCUUUCGCCCGAGGUAGCUAAUCUUUUAACCCCCUUCCUAGGGAGGUCGGCAGGGAUCACUAUGAAGUCUUUCAAAGGUUCGUCUAACAAGUUAGGGCCGCUUGGUUUCAUUAGUCAGUCCGUGUGAUUCACCCGCAGGAAUCCACGGUCUGCUAUUCCCCAAUUGCGCCACAACGGGUAACCGCUAACGAGCUAGAAAAGUUACUCAUACUUAACUAAAGCCAGAGCCAUUAUAGACCUCAUGGUUGCACUGUUGUCCCGGUUAUCACUUACAGAUAAAUCAUCAAGUGGCUAAAAAGUCAUUUUUAUCAUUUAUUACUUAACAUUAAUCUAGUCACAGGAUCAUGGUCACAGAAAUAAAACCCAAAUGCUAUACUUGCCUUAAUCCAAUUGCUCUUGCUUAUCUCUUUGGUCCUGCUGGUCUCACUUGUCCAAGGCUAUGAUCUUGAUCAAUGAAGCACUCUUGUUCACCACGAAUUGCUCAUCGUCUAAUCUCGAUCAUUGAUCACACAAACAAUCAAAGAAAACAUACACGAAGCAAACAAGACUACAAUUAGAACAGUACACCAUUCAUAUAAAAACAGUAUGAAAAGUUUAUAAAAUGAUUCUACGCAUCGCUACGAUUUCAUAGACGUAAAGAUCACGAAAAUCGGAGCUAAAACGGUGAAGUUAUGAAUUUUCUAAGAUUUCCUAUAGAUAAAUAAUUAAUUAAUUAGGGUUACGAAAUUAAAAAGUUUCAAACUGAGAAAACAGUGUUACUAACAUGUAGAGAUCAUGAUUAUGAACCUAACGCAAUUUGAAUGGGUCAAUUCGGAGUUAAAAUGAAUAUUUUAUGGCUAAAACAGUUUCAGUGGCAAACUUGUAAUUAUCUAAAAACGUAUUUUGAAUUAACCCGGCACACUUUACGUCUUCCAACUCAGAAAGCGUAUUUCAGUAAACGUGCUUUGGACUGCGGGUUCUAUUGUUAAAAAUGCCACGGGCUCUUUAGAGAGAUUGUCAGCCGAAGGGGUAAGUUUUGUUUUCGGCCGUUGGAUCUUGAUUGGAUGGCCCAGAUCAUGUCGCAGGUGGGGGAGAGAGUGGCUAGCCCAUCGCCGGCGGCCUGGGCGGCGGCGCCAUGGCCAGCAGGGAUCGGAGCUCGCCGGAGUACGGUGUUUAGGCGAUGUGAUGCACGAUUCUAAGAACCAAAAGCACGGGAGCGAAGAGGGGAACAAGGGGAACUCACCUCGGGCACCAAAACUCGGCGAGGAGGACUCGAAAGCUGUCGGCCACGGGCUAUGGCGGACGGACACCCCUACAAAAGGUUCGGCGACGUUGAGAGAGCGUUCUAGUGCAAUAGAGAACAAGAGAAUGGACUAGGCAUCUUCGUAACCUCGAUCCGAAGCUUGGCAAGCUCUUGAAUUCAGAAACGCAACAGCCGAGGAAGGGAUUUCACGACGGCGGCUUCCUGUGCUUGUCGUCGAGAUCCAAACCGCGAGCUAGGGCACCUCUAGGGUCGUGAAAACGGGAAAACAAACGCGGAGACGAUUUGGGUCUUUAUAGGGGUGUCGUUUCCAUCCAAAAUCUCGAAAAUCCCGGAGAUUUGAUACCUGUUUUUGCGUCCCGAUCAGAUACGGUGCAGGGGAGGAAGAAAGGUAGGAGAGGGAGGAGGACGCUGACCUGCGGUUCCCACCUGGCAGAUGCUAAUGGCGCGGGGCCGGCUUGCCAGAGAGAAAAGGGAGAGGGGAGGCGCGGGCUGGCUUCUGCCACAGAGCCGCGAGUUGGGUCGCGGAGGGAAAGAAAGGGGGGGAGGAGGAGAGUUUGGGCCUUCGGGCCAGAAGGAGGGAGGAGGGGUUCUGUUUUUUUUUUCUAUUUUCCUUUCUUUAUUUCAAAGCCGAUUUUCAAAAACAAUUUGAAAAACAAUUUUAAAAUCAGUUUGAUUCUCCUUAAUCUUAAAUUAAAUCCACACAUCACAUUAAAAUAAAUGCAAGGGCAUGCAUGCUCAAGCACAUUGCUAACUCCUAAGAUAAUUUUUAAUUUAGUGAAAAAUAUUAUAGUUCCUAUGUUCCAUGAGCACAGAAAUACAAAAUUAAAUCAUUUCCACCUAUUUCAAAAUUUGUAAAUUUUUGGGUGUUACAAUGGAAAGGCAAGAUGCUAUCGGCAGGAGGACGCUUGAUCUUAAUAAACUCGGUGCUUUCUAGUUUACCAAUGUUUAUGAUGUCAUUCUUUCUCCCAAAAGGAGUCUUAGAAAAGAUUGACUGUUUUAGAUCAAGAUUCUACUGGCAAAACGACCAACAUAGGCGGAAGUAUAGAUUGGCCAAGUGGGAAAUCUUAUGCCAACCUAAAAUACAAGGAGGUCUAGGCAUACAAAAUUUGGACGUACAGAAUAGAUGUUUGUUGAGUAAAUGGCUUUUUAAAUUGAUAAAUGAGGAUGGAUUAUGGCAAUAUCUCUUACGGAAUAAAUACCUAAAACACAAAACCAUAGGAAGUUGUUCUAAAAAGCCAACAGAUUCCCAUUUUUGGAAAGGCCUAAUGAAUGUUAAAGAUACUUUCAUGGGGUUCGGGUCAUUUAAGGUCAAAGAUGGUUCACAAACUCGUUUUUGGAUGGAUACCUGGCUGGACAACCAACCACUCAAAACUAAAUUCUCCUCGUUAUUCAAUAUUGAGAGAAGAAAACAAGCCUCCGUGGCAAGUGUCCUUGCAGCCGUCCCUUUAAACAUCUCCUUUCGUCGCAAUUUAGCAGGGAGAAACCUACAGGACUGGCACAAAAUUGUUGCUUCUCUAUAGGACGUGAAUUUACAAGAGGAAAGAGAUGUUUUUGUUUGGUCUUUACAUUCAUCAGGUAGCUUUUCAGUUAGCUCGAUGUAUGCCGCGUUAAUUAAAAAUGGUGUCAGAGUGCUACAAGAUAUAUGGCAGAUCAAAGUUCCUACAAAAAUAAAGAUAUUUUUGUGAUACUUAAAAAGAGGUGUGAUUCUAACAAAAGAUAACCUAGCCCGUCGUAAUUGGAAUAGUGACACGAGAUGUAGCUUUUGCCAUUGUACAGAAACUAUUCAUCACCUCUUUUUUGAUUGUUUUUAUGCCAAAUUUCUGUGGCGUGCAGUACAUUUAAUGUUUGGGAUAUCACUCCCUCUUAGCAUAGAGGAUUUAUUUGUUCAUUGGUCUAAGUUGGGUGAUAACUUGCACAAUUCUUUGUUAUUAACAGCAGCAUCGGCUUUAUGUUGGACAAUUUGGUUAACACGAAAUGAAGUGGUUUUUGACAAAAGUAGACCAAAAACCUUUUUGCAGGUACUCUUCCACGGAACACAUUGGCUGCGCCAAUGGGCAAGCCUGCAACGGCGUGAUGAUCAGCGGGACCAG